GGGCGAGUGAUGAAAUUGGUAGACAUGCCAGACUUAGGAUCUGGUGCCGCAAGGCUUGGGAGUUCGAGUCUCCCCUCGCCCA
rnacentral:tRNA from 1 species